CCCAAGGCAAGCGAGGCUUGUGGCAAUAGAAACAAAAGCCAAAGUCAGUUGCUAGAAACUUUGGAACACUCCAUAGCCAUGGAAGAGAAAAAAGAGAGCCGUCCUUAUUCAAGACUGAGUGUAUAAACUGACCUCAGCAAGUCUGCCAGAGCACAGGAGAAUGAAUCAUCUCAUGGCACAGUGACUCUGUCGUACGUCUUAGGUGCUGUUAGGAGGUCACCUAUGGACACACAGCAGAGGAUCAAGUCAUUUUUGGUGAAAUGGU